rnacentral:rRNA from 1 species
ACGGAAGGCAGCAGUGGGGAAUAUUGCACAAUGGGGGAAACCCUGAUGCAGCGACGCCGCGUGAGUGAAGAAGUUAUUCGUAAUGUAAAGCUCUAUCAGCAGGGAAGAAAAUGACGGUACCUGACUAAGAAGCCCCGGCUAACUACGUGCCAGCAGCCGCGGUAAUACGUAGGGGGCAAGCGUUAUCCGGAUUUACUGGGUGUAAAGGGAGCGUAGACGGCUUAGCAAGUCUGAUGUGAAAGGCAGGGGCUCAGCUCCUGGACUGCAUUGGAAACUGUUAAGCUGGAGUGCCGGAGAGGUAAGCGGAAUUCCUAGUGUAGCGGUGAAAUGCGUAGAUAUUAGGAGGAACACCAGUGGCGAAGGCGGCUUACUGGACGGUAACUGACGUUGAGGCUCGAAAGCGUGGGGAGCAAACAGGAUUAGAUACCCUGGUA